GCAGUGGCCUGUUUGCUUAGGCACUGAAGUGGAUGACCCAAGUUAGGAUGACAACUUGCAGAGAACGCGGAUGAGACCUUCAGUUUGUGCCCACACUCAUUUGCAGCAACCCUAACAGAGAUUGCGAAGAUUUUCAAAGUGGGGCACCUCGAUUUCUCGAAUCUGUGGUGUGGCGAAUAUCCGUGUUCCUCCUGCUUAACUAGCCUGUUUGGCACAGUUCAUUCUCGAGCAAUUCGUCACCUCCUGGGGGUCUUCUCUUCCCGUCUACAGGAGAGUGUGACUUCAGAAAGAACUUCGGAUUGGCCAAGGCCAUUAAAGCUGGUGAGCGACUUGGAAGUCAUUUAGAAAGGAACAGACCUUCAACCUCAAGCCUUUGCGGGCACUGGGAAAGUGUCUUCCCAAUCAAUCUGGCUUGCAGGCGGCAGGACCAACUCUGACCUGGCUUAUCUUGUACCCAUCCUAAAUACACCAAACUCAAGAGGUAGCCAGGGCCGCCUCAACACCGAGGCAGGUCUGAUUCUAUUUAUUCUAAAGACAGAGUUGGAGAUGGGCUACCAUUGGUGUUGAUUGAGAUGACAAGCAGUCACCUGAGCCCAUACAGCUGGGUUCACAGAUGUGGCUAGUCUUGCUAGCCAGCUCGCACUGUGGACAUUCUAGGGAACUGACUGCAGUCCUCAUGCUUGGAGUCAAACACUUUAACCACUGCACACGUUUAUGUAAUAGGAUUGACAUAUGAGAAUCAGAGAAAUGAAUGAAAGAUUAGAGUGGGAGAAAGUGCUUGCUGCCAAGCUUGAUGACCUAAAUUGAAUACCUGGAACCUACACGACAGAAAGAGAGAGCUGACUGCUGAAAGAUGUCCUCAGAUCUUCACAUGUGCACAGUGGCACCUAUCCAACCAUGCACAUAGUAUAUUAAAAAUUAUUUUUUAAAAAA
rnacentral:lncRNA from 1 species